UACCUACGGGCGGCAGCAGUGAGGAAUUUUGCGCAAUGGGGGAAACCCUGACGCAGCGACGCCGCGUGGAGGAUGAAGUAUCUCGGUAUGUAAACUCCUGUCAGUGGGGAUGAUGAUGACAGUACCAACAGAGGAAGCACCGGCUAACUCCGUGCCAGCAGCCGCGGUAAGACGGAGGGUGCAAGCGUUGUUCGGAAUUACUGGGCGUAAAGCGUACGUAGGCGGCGGAUUAAGUCGAAUGUUAAAGCCUGGGGCUCAACCCCAGAGAUGCAUUCGAUACUGGUCUGCUAGAGGGUGAUAGAGGAAAGUGGAAUUCCCAGUGUAGCGGUGAAAUGCGUAGAUAUUGGGAGGAACAUCAGUAGCGAAGGCGACUUUCUGGGUCACACCUGACGCUGAGGUACGAAAGCGUGGGGAGCAAACGGGAUUAGAUACCCUGGUAGUCCAU
rnacentral:rRNA from 1 species